GAUGAACGCUGGCGGCGUGCUUAACACAUGCAAGUCGAACGGUGAACACGGAGCUUGCUCUGUGGGAUCAGUGGCGAACGGGUGAGUAACACGUGAGCAACCUGCCCCUGACUCUGGGAUAAGCGCUGGAAACGGCGUCUAAUACUGGAUACGAACCACGAAGGCAUCUUCAGUGGUUGGAAAGAAUUUCGGUUGGGGAUGGGCUCGCGGCCUAUCAGCUUGUUGGUGAGGUAAUGGCUCACCAAGGCGUCGACGGGUAGCCGGCCUGAGAGGGUGACCGGCCACACUGGGACUGAGACACGGCCCAGACUCCUACGGGAGGCAGCAGUGGGGAAUAUUGCACAAUGGGCGCAAGCCUGAUGCAGCAGCGCCGCGUGAGGGAUGACGGCCUUCGGGUUGUAAACCUCUUUUAGCAGGGAAGAAGCGAAAGUGACGGUACCUGCAGAAAAAGCGCCGGCUAACUACGUGCCAGCAGCCGCGGUAAAAC
rnacentral:rRNA from 1 species